GUAGGACACUUAACCCACGGAGUCACCCACGUGCCCCCCAGAAUCAUAUUUUUGAAUGCUUAAAGCAAAGAAUAGAGGGUUACAAAGGAAGUCGAUUAUUCUGAAAUGCAUUGUCAAAAUGUAUUUUUAUCUUUUCAUGAUUAUUGUUUUAGGUUUAUUUAUUUAUUUUGAGAGAGACAGAGACAGCGUGAGUGGGGCAGGGGCAGAGAGAGAGAGGGGGAGAGAGAGAGAAUCCCAAGCAGGCUCCACGCUGUCAGCACAGAGCCUGACGCGGGGCUCGAACUCACGGAGCCACGAGGAUCACCACCUGCGCCGAAACCGAGAGUCAGAUGCUUAACCGACCGAGCACCCAGACGCCCCUCAAAAUAGAUUUUUAAAUCGUGAUGUGGUGUAUCAGCCAGAGCCAUCAUGUUAACAGAAGCACUGAGUUCAGGGGACCCUCUGGCUGGGUGCUGGGUGACUGAGAAAGGGUAACAUGGGGCAGUGACCUGGGGACCCCUGGGGCUGGCUGACCACACUCCAGGGCGUGCCCGCGCCUCUGGGCGGGGUGUUUUGGAGUGUGACAGGGCUCCCAGACGGGGGUUUCUGAGAGCCAGGCUGACAAACACUGGGAGCUGAGCCCUGAGGCCGUUGCUGGGAGACGCAGGGAAACAGGAAGUGGUGGGAGGAGCCCCACAGGGAGGAAGGAGGGCUGGAGCUGCACAGACAGCACACAGCAUUGGGAGCGCACUCGGUGACAAGAGAUCGUGUCUGUCACGAUGCUGGCACAGCGGUCUGUCCUCUCCCCAGCUGUCUGCAACCGCGGUGAUGUGACAUACAGACACCAGGGUUUCUACUGGUGACAAAGUCACAGACACCUGUGACACCACCCCAGCGUCUGGCCUGCAUUCACACUGGAGAAAUCACACAACUGACCAUCGACGCCAGCUUUCUUUUAUGCUUCGGAAGAGAAAAUAACAGCAACAAUAAUGCAACUUCGUUGUAUAGAUCUCUUUGUAUAUGUAUCUUUGUAUAUGUCUCUCAUGUGACUGAUACGGUCAACCACUCCUGCAAACAGCAAAUAACAAUCUUGGCAUUGUAUUGAUCGUAUUAUACCUAUUCGUGAAUGCCACAGAAAAUAAAGAAAGAGAACGCAC